rnacentral:rRNA from 1 species
UACGGGGGGAGCAAGCGUUGUUCGGAUUUACUGGGCGUAAAGGGCGCGUAGGCGGCCACUGCAAGUCAGUUGUGAAAUCUCCGGGCUUAACCCGGAAAGGUCAACUGAUACUGCAGGGCUAGAGUGCAGAAGGGGCAACUGGAAUUCUCGGUGUAGUGGUGAAAUGCGUAGAUAUCGAGAGGAACACCUGCGGCGAAGGCGGGUUGCUGGGCUGACACUGACGCUGAUGUGCGAAAGCUAGGGGAGCGAACGGG